rnacentral:rRNA from 1 species
AUGAUGCCUCUAUUCAAGCCUAUGGUUUUACCAAAGGAUAAGAAAGUGAAUCACUUUUCCUUAUAUGUCAUGAAUCGUUACCAAAUUAGCGUCGACAUCCUUGACUCUUUACCUUAUCCGAAGAACCAUCGUCCUUCAAAGAACACCUAUCAUAAAGACUGCGAGAAGAUUAUCUCCAGAUUGGUCCAAGUAAUGAAGGUUGUGUAUGGUGAUGCUCAGUACAAUGCGAGCAAGCAGCCCAAAUGGGAGCUUUUUGCAAAGAAACCAACAUUUGUGAAGGUUCCACUUCAAGGGGCGAAUGAAUGUAGCCAUUGUACUCUGAAGUAUGCAUGA